AUUGAACGCUGGCGGCAGGCCUAACACAUGCAAGUCGAACGAGUGGCGGACGGGUGAGUAAUGUCUGGGAACCUGCCUGAUGGAGGGGGAUAACUACUGGAAACGGUAGCUAAUACCGCAUACCAUCGGAUGUGCCCAGGUGGGAUUAGCUAGUAGGUGGGGUAAAGGCUCACCUAGGCGACGAUCCCUAGCUGGUCUGAGAGGAUGACCGGCGAAACUGGAACUGAGAGACGGUCCAGACGCCUACGGGAGGCAGCAGUGGGGAAUAUUGCACAAUGGGCGAAAGCCUGAUGCAGCCAUGCCGCGUGUAUGAAGAAGGCCUUCGGGUUGUAAAGUACUUUCCGCGGUGAGGCGUUACCCGCAGAAGAAGCACCGGCUAACUCCGUGCCAGCAGCCGCGGUAAUUC
rnacentral:rRNA from 1 species